AUAGCGUAUAUUAAAGUUGUUGCAGUUAAAAAGCUCGUAGUUGAAUUUCAGGCCUGGCCGGGCGGUCAGCUUAACGGCGUGCACUGUCUGGCUGGGCCUUACCUCUUGGUGAGCUGGCGUGUCCCUUAUUGGAUGCGUCGGGGAACCAGGACUUUUACCUUGAGAAAAUUAGAGUGUUCAAAGCAGGCCUAUGCCUGAAUACAUUAGCAUGGAAUAAUAAAAUAGGACGUGCGGUUCUAUUUUGUUGGUUUCUAGAGUCGCCGUAAUGAUUAAUAGGGAUAGUUGGGGGCAUUGGUAUUGAGUCGCUAGAGGUGAAAUUCUUGGAUUGACUCAAGACCAACUAUUG
rnacentral:rRNA from 1 species